CAUCAAACAUGUUUUGAAAGGCCCCGGCCGUGGCACGACUGGCUAGGGCACCUGCACCGUACGCCGGCGACCCGUGUUCGAUUCCCGCCCCGUGGUCCUCUCGGAUCCCACCCCAACACUCGCUUCCUGUCGAUCUCCACUGUCCUUUCACAUUAAAGGCAUAA